AUCCUACGGGACGCAGCAGUGGGGAAUAUUGCACAAUGGGGGAAACCCUGAUGCAGCGACGCCGCGUGGGCGACGAAGCGCUCCGGCGCGUAAAGCCCUGUCAGCAGGGAAGAACAAAGACAGUACCUGACCAAGAAGCCCCGGCUAACUACGUGCCAGCAGCCGCGGUAAUACGUAGGUGGCGAGCGUUAUCCGGAAUGAUUGGGCGUAAAGGGUGCGUAGGCGGCCUGCUAAGUCUGGAGUGAAAGGUACCGGCUCAACCGGUACAGGCUCUGGAAACUGGCGGGCUAGAGAGCAGGAGAGGG
rnacentral:rRNA from 1 species